rnacentral:lncRNA from 1 species
CAGGAUGGGACUCGCAUCUGCUCUGGUUGAUGAGGCGCUGUGAGGAUGGCAGGGAAUGUUCUUCCCUCAGGAGGUGAGGAGAAGGUCUCUCACUCCCACAGCUUCUUCUGGUACUUUCUGGUAGAUUAGCCCAAGACCCCUGCUUUCGGCAGCCCGCAGUGGAGCAGGGAUGCAGAGCUGCGGUCAGGCCACCGGUGUCCUCGUCCAUCAAUCGCUAACCAGGGCAGGAUGGGUGAGGAGCAGGACUCUUGCAGGCAGAGAUGAGUUGGGGUCCUCAGGCUGCCCAAGAUCAGGCAACAAGCAAGAAGGAACUGUCAAAAGGGAGAAGAUUCUUCCUUAACACUGAACAUGACUUACAUACCAGCAGCCACCAGGCCAGCUGCCAUUGGGAACGCUAUGACCCUCACAGCCAGCCAAUGAAGUGAAUGGGGUUAUUCCCAAUUCCCAGGCGAGGAAACUGAGGGCCUCGGGGGAUGUGAAGCUGGGAAGAGCAGUGGAGCCCUGGAGCUAUGUCUGGACUUUCCUGCCUCCAAAGCUUCCUCCAACAAAGGAGGAAAGGGGAGCAUCCUGGGCAAGCUCCACAUUCCCAGAACAAAACAACCAAAGAUGCAGCCCACAGGGAUGGGUGAACCAGAGCAUGGCAUCCUGGACACAGGGCUGGACUGAGGAUCAACCACAGGGAUGAAGCCCGGCUCCAGCUUGUCCCCACUGUAUUUGCCAGGAGAAAUCCCUUCUCGACCUGGCCUCCAUUCCCUGUCUGUAAACAGGAUAGCAUCACGCUGGGCGAUGUCUGAGGUUCCUUCCAGCCCCAGUGUUUUAUUUAUCUAGUUUCUGGUGGUAAAAGCCCUGGGCAGGGACUGUAAGCUGUGCCUUCCUGUUUUGUAGGUGAGAAUGUGUUCUCUAAACACCUUUAGCAAGAUGACAUAGGGACCGCGGCCUUCGGGCAGAACUGUGUGUGCUUGGAGGUGGCAAGUGGAGGCACAGAUGUGUUUUCUUCUGGGUGAAGGAGUCUCCACACUCCCUCCAUGAUAGUGCCUGGGGCAUGGGCCUCCCUGGCAGAAUAGCUGGCCCCAGCUGGGGACUCUAGGUCUGCUUUAAAAUGCUCUAGGGCUUCUGGAUGUGCUCAAGGAAUGGGCUUAAAUUCAGAGCAGGGAAGAAAAACAAGCCCAUGGACCAAACAAGUCCUGCACCAUUAGAUCAAGGAGACAUUGCUGUGCUGGAAAACAGGAGUCAUUUGUGAGAUAAAUGUACUGCUGGGAGACUUGACCUUGUUCCACCCGCAAUACCGUGUGUGGUUAUUCAUGGGACUUCUUGGGUAAAUCAGCUGAGCUCAGAGCUGCAAAGAGGCUUAUAGGCCUUCCCAUUGAGCAUGAGAAUGAAUGAGUAAGUGGCUGUAGCCAUAAGCUGUCACUGGUACCAACUGAGAUAUGGUGGAUGCUGGGCCCCUGAGGAGUCACAGUCAGUGGGGAGACAAGGAAUGAGGCUGUUGUGCACUGGGCCAGGUGCAAGAGAAUCGCCACCUCUCACUCUACCAAGCCAGGAGUGGGAUGAAUGGGAAGAACACCAGAGGAGAGGGUGCCUCGUGCUGAUUCCCAGGGCAGGUGGAGACAAGGAGAAACAGCCUGUGCCGAGCCCAACACACACAAGCUUGCCUGCCGAGCCCAAUGCAUGCCAGUGUGCAUCCGGGAAUUCUAUCUGCUUUCUGGCCCUCUCCAGGGUUCCUCCGCAUCCUAUGCAUGAUACAUUGACUUGCCUCCUGGCAUCUGUCUCCUUUAAUGACCAUGCCCUUCUCUAGGAGAGAAAGACAGUCUUUCUCAUCUGUUUCUCGGCACCCAGCACGCAGCCAGGUAGAGCGGAUGACCAGUAAGGUGUGGCUGAAUGGACUUGGUGACUACUCGUGUUACUCAGAGAUUAAGGCACAAGCCCACUAAGAAACCUACGCAGGACAGCCUGACGUGGCUCCCCACCAGGGGCUCCCUAUGAGACGCCGCACUGGAUACAGGCUGGUGGACCCCCGCACGUGUGUUCUGUUCUCAAAUGUCUCCUUCACCACGAAUCACCUGCAUCCUCCCACCAGCUCUUUCUCUGCCCCCUUCUGAGGCUCCUUCAGCAGUUGGCUGCUCCGAAUAUUAAAAAUCCAGGCAGGAAUUUGCCCACAAAUCAGAUUUGGGAUUUCCUGAUAGCAGGAGCUGAGCUGGUCAUCUCCGGAUCCCCCAGACCUAGCAUGGAUACUGAAUGGAAUACUUUUAGAAGAUAAACAUCUGGAAUAAUGCUUGACGAAAUACCUGAGUACAGACUGUGACCCAGUCAAGCUGACACAUGAAAUUAACCAUCACACUGUCGGACUCUGGCUGUGUGACUUUAUCUCAUUUCUUCAUCUAUAAAAUGGAGGCCACACUUUUACCUCUCACAUGGGGCUGAGAGAGGAUUAAAUGGUCAAUAUUUCCAAAGGCCCGAGGCUACUGCUGGUGUAAGGAAGCCCCGUAGCCAACACACACCCCAGGGCAGGAAGUGGGUGAGAACAACUUAGACCUUGGACAGAAAGCAAUUCGGAAACUGGCUCAGCCUCUUCUCGUUGCUGGCACGGCAAGCAGUGUUAAGUGUGAGCAAUUUUUUGUUUUGUUUUGAAUUUGAAUGGUUCCUUUUUCUCCUUCACGAGGAGGCCAUGGUUUCUGAGAGUGGGGCUUGCAUGUGGCAAAGAAUAAGGAUGGCAAGAAGGGCGGAAGCACCCCUGAGCACUGCAGCUGCUACUUCCAGUGCACUCUCUGUUUACAACCGCCCUGGGAGAUGAGAAGAAAACCUCCAGAUUAUACUUGAAACGCUGAGGCUGGAAGAGGUAGACAAGAUGUGGCGAAGUCACACAGCUGCCAACUGAUGGGCUGGCCUGCUGGAUCCCAGAGCCAACAUUCUUUGUGGUAGGGGAGGUGUCUAAACCAUCUUUUUUUGCUGGGGACAUGCAAAUACAUGGAAACUCACAACGGCUGUGUACUUCUCACAAACUUUCAAAAGGUGUUUUGUGAAUUGAGCUAAAUUCACUGCUGUGCAGGAGAUGUGAGGCCCUAAACAUGGUAUAAAAUUCUGUAACGGACACUUUACAAAAGAAGAAGGAAAGGGAAAAAAGCAGAUUGAGAAAUGCCACAUACGUUUCCAGGCGGGGACAUAGAUUUCAUGCCGUUACACAGCUUUCCUAACUCCAUUUCACCUAGCUGGAGCUUUGGACUCUUACGUAAAGUUCCUUAUUCAUUUGUUCAGCAGAGAUUUAUUAAGCAGCCACUGCGUCUCUUGCAACUACAGAAUCAGUCUUUUGAAAAAUGAACCAGAAAAUGUAUGGAAACUAAUCCUGCCUUUCUCACCAAACACACUGUAGGGAUAACCUCUCUCAUACGUGGGCGUCAAAUGUUUACAAAACUUGUGCCUUCCAUCUGUCACUUUCCUGCUGGCCGCUGGGCCUCCGGACACACAGUUCCCCUGCCUGCAGCACUCCAAAAAUAUUCUAUGCGCUCCCCUCCCUACAAAUAUUUGAUGAAGGAAUAGCAGAAAGAACACAUUCUUUCCAUGGUUUAUAUAAGCACCACACUCCUGCCAGGGCUAUCUGUCUCAGCUUUUUCCUUUUCACGAUGAAUCGUACCACAGUUUGUGCCUGAUGCUCUGCAGAAAUUGAUCUUAACACUUAAAAACAACUUUGCCUGUUGGGUACAUGUCAGAUGUUUUACAGAGUAAUCUUCACAUUUUCCUGCUUGAGCGAUAUAUUCAGACAUCCCCACACUCAUUCAGCUGAUGGGAAUGUUGGUCUCAGCCCUUGAACAAAUCAAUCAGGUAGGCUGGAGGGGCAUCCUGGAUUCUUCUCCAGGCUCCAUCGUCAGACACUGGUUC